AUUGAACGCUGGCGGCAGGCCUAACACAUGCAAGUCGAGCGGAUGAAGAGAGCUUGCUCUCUGAUUUAGCGGCGGACGGGUGAGUAAUGCCUAGGAAUCUGCCUGGUAGUGGGGGAUAACGUCCGGAAACGGGCGCUAAUACCGCAUACGUCCUACGGGAGAAAGCAGGGGACCUUCGGGCCUUGCGCUAUCAGAUGAGCCUAGGUCGGAUUAGCUAGUUGGUGAGGUAAUGGCUCACCAAGGCGACGAUCCGUAACUGGUCUGAGAGGAUGAUCAGUCACACUGGAACUGAGACACGGUCAAGACUCCUACGGGAGGCAGCAGUGGGGAAUAUUGGACAAUGGGCGAAAGCCUGAUCCAGCCAUGCCGCGUGUGUGAAGAAGGUCUUCGGAUUGUAAAGCACUUUAAGUUGGGAGGAAGGGCAGUAAGUUAAUACCUUGCUGUUUUGACGUUACCGACAGAAUAAGCACCGGCUAACUUCGUGCCAGCAGCCGCGGUAACAC
rnacentral:rRNA from 1 species